rnacentral:rRNA from 1 species
GCAUAUCAAUAAGCGGAGGAAAAGAAACCAACAGGGAUUGCCCUAGUAACGGCGAGUGAAGCGGCAACAGCUCAAAUUUGAAAUCUGGCUUCGGCCCGAGUUGUAAUUUGCAGAGGAAGCUUUAGGCGCGGCACCUCCUGAGUCCCCUGGAACGGGGCGCCACAGAGGGUGAGAGCCCCGUAUAGUUGGAUGCCUAGCCUGUGUAAAGCUCCUUCGACGAGUCGAGUAGUUUGGGAAUGCUGCUCAAAAUGGGAGGUAAAUUUCUUCUAAAGCUAAAUACCGGCCAGAGACCGAUAGCGCACAAGUAGAGUGAUCGAAAGAUGAAAAGCACUUUGAAAAGAGGGUUAAAUAGCACGUGAAAUUGUUGAAAGGGAAGCGCUUGUGACCAGACUUGCGCCGGGCUGAUCAUCCGGUGUUCUCACCGGUGCACUCUGCCCGGCUCAGGCCAGCAUCGGUUCUCGCGGGGGGAUAAAGGCCCUGGGAACGUAGCUCCUCCGGGAGUGUUAUAGCCCGGGGCGCAAUGCCCUCGCGGGGACCGAGGUUCGCGCUCUGCAAGGAUGCUGGCGUAAUGGUCAUCAGCGACCCGUCUUGAAACACGGACCAAGGAGUCAAGGUUUUGCGCGAGUGUUUGGGUGUAAAACCCGCACGCGUAAUGAAAGUGAACGUAGGUGAGAGCUUCGGCGCAUCAUCGACCGAUCCUGAUGUUCUCGGAUGGAUUUGAGUAGGAGCGUUAAGCCUUGGACCCGAAAGAUGGUGAACUAUGCUUGGAUAGGGUGAAGCCAGAGGAAACUCUGGUGGAGGCUCGCAGCGGUUCUGACGUGCAAAUCGAUCGUCAAAUCUGAGCAUGGGGGCGAAAGACUAAUCGAACCAUCUAGUAGCUGGUUACCGCCGAAGU